GAUGAAGAACGCAGCGAAAUGCGAUAAGUAAUGUGAAUUGCAGAAUUCAGUGAAUCAUCGAAUCUUUGAACGCACAUUGCGCCCGCCAGUAUUCUGGCGGGCAUGCCUGUUCGAGCGUCAUUACAACCCUCAGGCCCCCGGGCCUGGCGUUGGGGAUCGGCGGAAGCCCCCUGCGGGCACAACGCCGUCCCCCAAAUACAGUGGCGGUCCCGCCGCAGCUUCCAUUGCGUAGUAGCUAACACCUCGCAACUGGAGAGCGGCGCGGCCACGCCGUAAAACACCCAACUUCUGAAUGUUGACCUCGAAUCAGGUAGGAAAACCCGCUGAACUUAAGCAUAUCAAUAAGCGGAGGA
rnacentral:misc_RNA from 1 species